UAAACUGACACACACAUAUGUAUGUUCUCUGUUUCAACAGAUAUUAUUCUUAUUAUUAACUAUGUUGCUAUUUUUCAGUUAACAGCUGAGGCACAUGAAAACAAGGAGGACUGGUGGUG
rnacentral:ribozyme from 1 species